AGUGAGAAGCAACUUUCCCACCCAACUUGGGAUGAGUUAAGAAAAAAAAGCAAAGGUUUAUGCAGUUCACGUUUCUGUUCCCAGUGAGAAAACUUAUCAAAUCUUGUAGGAAUGAAGUGCAGAUUCUUGCAAGAUUGCCUGUUCAAGAAAUACAAGAACAUCAUUGACAAGAAUGGGUAAAACGAUGUUUCCUGAGAAUAAUUAACAAGUACUGGAAAAAGCAGGUUCUUUUCCCUUCAUGGUGACAGCUAUACAGCAUAUAUAUUUGUGUCUGUGCCCAGCUCUUUUUUAAAAAAAAUUUUUAAAUAUAUAUAUGCUUUUAGUUGUAGAUGGACACAAUACCUUUAUUUUGUUCAUUUAUUUUUAGGUGGUGCUGAGGAUCGAACCCAGUGACUCACAGGUGCAAGGCCAGUGCUCUACUGCUCAGCCACAGACCCCGCCCCGUCCAGCUCUUUCUUGAAUGCUGUUCUGCUUGAGGCAAAGGGAGGUGUACAUUUCAUACUUGCUAUUGGCAACUAUUUUUAUUUCAGGAAAUUAGCACAGCACCUUCCUUUCUUUCCUUCUGCCUCCUUGGACACAGGGUCAAUGUUACAAUAGCUUCUGGCUUGGACUGUGGCUAGCUUCGGGCUGCCCACCUCAAGGGAAGUCUUGUACCACAGUCCUCAGUGUAGCCCACUCGGCAAACGAAUGUCCUUCUCUGGGCACCUGUGGCCAGAGGAUAGGAAGGCACUCUGAACUCUGGAGAGUGGAGUCCUGGCUGGGCUCUACCCCAAUGUAGACUCCAGCCUGGAGGCUGGUUCUGAGCCUCACCAUUGCUUCCCCUAAGUAACUGGGAUGUGUCUUCCUGACCAGGAGACUUGGUGGCUCCAUCCUAGGGUGGGUGACUGCUCUCAUCACAGGGCCACGCCUCCUGACAUAAAGGUGUCUGUGGACAGGAGCCCCAUAGACAGGCUGCCAGGUGGGCCAGCCCUGUGUGCCCUCAUGGAUAGGGUUGGGUGUGAUAUUUCAAAGUCACAGGUCUGCACCUCCAUGGAAGACCAUGCCUUGAUAUAUGUACUGAUGGGCCAAGUGCUGUGGCACAUACCUGUAAUCCCAGCAGGUUGGGAGGCUGAGGCAGGAGGAUCUCAAGUUCAAAGCCAGCCUUAGCAACUUAGUGAGGCCCUAAGCAACUUAGUGAGACUGUGCCAAAAUAAAAAAAUAAAAAAAAUGAAGAAGGUCUGGGGGUAUGGUUCAGUGGUUAAGCACUCCUGGGUUCAAUCCCUGACACCAAAAAAAAAAAAAUUAAGUACCACAGGACUUUCAAUGUGGGUCCAUCUGCCUCAUAGCCAGAAUGCAAGCUACCCUCCUGGUACCUGGGUGGCUUCACCGUGGAUAGAAUGUCCCACGUUUGAGCAGGAAUUAGGAGGAGAUAUGCUCCAGGAACACAUCUCUUGGCUCUGGAACAGCUGAGCCACCCAGGUGGCUUCCUUUUGUGUCCACCUACACGGGCUUCCUCCUGGACCCCCUUUCUGACCCCUCCUGGACCUGCCCAGCCAAAGCUUUCCUGCUCAGACUCCAGUUGUAGGAAGAGCCAGGAGCUGCCCGACUGGCCUUUGAAGAACCCAAGUCCCCCAGCCCCUCCCCAGAAGCCAGGAGCUGCAUUCACGCUUCAUGAUUCUCACUCAACACGUAUUAAUGUGGACCCACACAGGCGGGCUCCAGGGAUUUCCAGACUCUGAGAAACAUCUGUGGAUGAAGCUUAGAUGCCAGUGGGAGAAGACAGAAAUCAACAGCUACAUACACAGGUGAAUCCAGCAGCCGGUGCCACAGGAAAGGCUGGAGAGUCACACGGAAGCAGGACUCAGGGACAGAGAGCCCGGGAGAAGAGGAGAGCGUCAACAGGCCUUCAAGGUAGGCUUGGCUGGGGAGGUUUGUGAGUGGGUUAACGGAGGUGAGGGGAUCAGUGUGGGGCAGCUGGGGAAGGAGUAC
rnacentral:lncRNA from 1 species